rnacentral:tmRNA from 1 species
GGGGAUGAAUGGUUUCGACGGGGCAGGCUGGUUGCAAGUCGCAAGCCGAGGCGCUCUCUCCUCGUUAACAAAGAGCAAAACAAUAACUGCCAACACUGGCAAGGCCUUCAACUUCGCUCCUCGUUUCGCUGCUGCGCCCGCAAUGGCGCUCGCUGCCUAAUCGAGUAGGGAAGCGGCCACUCUCCUCUCGUUAGAGAGGACGGCGUAUGGGGCGUGGCGCCGCCUGGUGCUUCAUACACCGACACACACAGGAGGGCUGCUGCCGAUUCUACACCGAUAGAAUCGGCCUAAGACUCAUCGGUUAGCUUGCAUGGCACGCUGUCGUUAGUGGGCCGGCGAGCGAAACUCCAAAAUGACGACUAAGCUUGUAGAGACUUUCGGUCGAAUGUUUCGGACGCGGGUUCGAUACCCGCCAUCUCCACCA